UUCGGCAGGGAAGAAAUCGGCGGGGCGAAUAACCCUGCUGGAUGACGGUACCUGCAGAAGAAGCACCGGCUAACUACGUGCCAGCAGCCGCGGUAAUACGUAGGGUGCGAGCGUUAAUCGGAUUUACUGGGCGUAAAGCGUGCGCAGGCGGCCCGUUAAGACAGGUGUGAAAUCCCUGGGCUCAACCUAGGAAUUGCGCUUGUGACUGGCGGGCUCGAGUACGGUAGAGGGGGGUGGAAUUCCUGGUGUAGCAGUGAAAUGCGUAGAGACCAGGAGGAACACCGAUGGCGAAGGCAGCCCCCUGGGCCUGUACUGACGCUCAUGCACGAAAGCGUGGGGAGCAAACAGGAUUAGAUACCCUGGUAGUCCACGCCCUAAACGAUGGGUACUAGCCGUUUGGUGCGCGAUAGCGCUGAGUGGCGAAG
rnacentral:rRNA from 1 species